rnacentral:rRNA from 1 species
GCUUGUCUCAAAGAUUAAGCCAUGCAUGUCUAAGUGUAAAUAAGUCUAUACUGUGAAACUGCGAAUGGCUCAUUAAAUCAGUUAUCGUUUAUUUGAUGAUCUCUUACUACUUGGAUAACCGUAGUAAUUCUAGAGCUAAUACAUGCACAAAAUCCCGACUUACGAAGGGAUGUAUUUAUUAGAUACAAACCAACAUCGUGGUGAUUCAUAAUAACUUUGCGAAUCGUAUGCCUCACGGCGACGAUGAAUCAUUCAAAUUUCUGCCCUAUCAAGUAUCGUAUGUAGGAUAGAGGCCUACAUAGCUUAUGACGGGUGACGGAGAAUUAGGGUUCGAUUCCGGAGAGGGAGCCUGAGAAACGGCUACCACAUCCAAGGAAGGCAGCAGG